UACGGAGGGUGCAAGCGUUAUCCGGAUUUACUGGGUUUAAAGGGUGCGUAGGUGGGUCUGUAAGUCAGUGGUGAAAUCUCCGGGCUUAACCCGGAAACUGCCAUUGAUACUAUAGGUCUUGAAUACUCUGGAGGUAAGCGGAAUAUGUCAUGUAGCGGUGAAAUGCUUAGAUAUGACACAGAACACCAAUUGCGAAGGCAGCUUACUACGGGGUCAUUGACACUGAGGCACGAAAGCGUGGGGAUCAAACAGG
rnacentral:rRNA from 1 species